rnacentral:rRNA from 1 species
CAGCCGCCGCGGGAAUACGAAGGGGGCUAGCGUUGUUCGGAAUUACUGGGCGUAAAGCGCACGUAGGCGGAUAUUUAAGUCAGGGGUGAAAUCCCAGAGCUCAACUCUGGAACUGCCUUUGAUACUGGGUAUCUUGAGUAUGGAAGAGGUGAGUGGAAUUCCGAGUGUAGAGGUGAAAUUCGUAGAUAUUCGGAGGAACACCAGUGGCGAAGGCGGCUCACUGGUCCAUUACUGACGCUGAGGUGCGAAAGCGUGGGGAGCAAACAGGAUUAGAUACCCCCGUAGUCCCUGUCUCUUAUAC